AUAAAUUUCUUUUUCAGUGAACAAGUUAUUGUGAGAUAGUCUGAUUACUUUGGAGCUGCCAGAUUGUGUGUGAAAUCCUGAAAAAAAUAUUUCAACAACUUUUUCAUGAACCACAGAAACUUCACCUUACCAAAUUGUAGGACCAGACAUUGUGAGAAAGUUUGAUUGCAUUCAAGAGCUGCCAGAGCUAAAGCUAGAAAAGAAACUAAACAACUUCUUCUCAUGAUCUGCUUAAUUGAUCUUCACAUUGAAUUGUGAAUGAAUUGGUGUUACAGAAAUGGAUAACAUAUGGAGACAAACACUUUCAGGCUACAGAAACUACACAUUGUUUGAGACUAUGAGAAUGGCUUAUUUUCAUGAUGGAACUCAUACUACAAAGAAAGAACUUGCUUUAUCUUAUUUCUUAUAACUAGUCCUCAAAGACAUACCCAAGUAAAUUACAACAGGAAUGAAAGCAAACAAAGUUGAUUCAGGAUUUAGAAUUGAAUGUUUUUGUGUCAACAGUGUGUGAAAACUGCGGAAAAUAGGAUUUUAAUUUCAAGGAUUUGAUUUAGUAUGUCAAGGAGUGAUUUGUUUUUAAUUCAUCACACAAGUUAUUGACAAUGCUCUAAAAUAUAAAUAGGAUGUGUAAAUACAGACUUUCAUACCUAACUAAAAUAAUGUUGAACUCAACAGAAUAAACAAACUUCCAUCUGUUGUAUAAUAUAUUAGUUGAUUUAUCAAACUUCGUCAGUUUUGUUACAUUACUUAUCAUUGAUAGAAUCUAUUAUCUAAUAACCCUUUACAGUGUGUCAAG
rnacentral:lncRNA from 1 species